AUGAACGCUGGCGGCGUGCCUAAUACAUGCAAGUCGAGCGAACAGACGAGGAGCUUGCUCCUCUGACGUUAGCGGCGGACGGGUGAGUAACACGUGGAUAACCUACCUAUAAGACUGGGAUAACUUCGGGAAACCGGAGCUAAUACCGGAUAAUAUAUUGAACCGCAUGGUUCAAUAGUGAAAGACGGUUUUGCUGUCACUUAUAGAUGGAUCCGCACCGCAUUAGCUAGUUGGUAAGGUAACGGCUUACCAAGGCAACGAUGCGUAGCCGACCUGAGAGGGUGAUCGGCCACACUGGAACUGAGACACGGUCCAGACUCCUACGGGAGGCAGCAGUAGGGAAUCUUCCGCAAUGGGCGAAAGCCUGACGGAGCAACGCCGCGUGAGUGAUGAAGGUCUUCGGAUCGUAAAACUCUGUUAUUAGGGAAGAACAAAUGUGUAAGUAACUAUGCAUGUCUUGACGGUACCUAAUCAGAAAGCCACGGCUAACUACGUG
rnacentral:rRNA from 1 species